ACUUGAGCCUGGGAGGUUGAGGCUGCGGUGAGCCAAGAUUGAGCCACUGCACUCCAGCCUGGGUGACAAAGAAAGACCCUGUCGAAGAAGAAGAAGCAGCAGCAGCAGAAAAAGAAGAAGAAGAAGAAGCAGAAGAAGCAGAAGAAGAAGCAGAAGAAGAAGAAGCAGAAGAAGAAGAAGAAGAAACAAAGGGGAGGAUGCAACUUGGAGAGGCCCAGCCCCUAGGAGAAAGCCUAACUGCAGUAAAGGAGUCCUGGAGACAGGACAAGAAUGAAGUCAAUGAAGCAUAGCAGGAGUGGAGAUAAAGACGCGCAUGAAAUUUGGUGCUGUGACUCGGAUUGGGGGACCUCCCUUGGGAGAUCAAUCCCCUGUACUCCUGUUCUUUGCUCCGUGAGAAAGAUCCACCUAUGAUCUCAGGUCCUCAGACCGACCAGCCCAAGGAACAUCUCACCAAUUUUAAAUCAGAUCUUCUCGGCUUAGCGGCUGAAGACUGACGCUGCCCGAUCGCCUCAGAAGCCCCCUAGACCAUCACCGACGCUGAGCUUCGGGUAACUCUCACAGUGGAAGAUGAAGAAACUGGGGCUCUGAAUGGCAUAUUAACGCGUGCAGCUCCAGACAGCGAGGAAGUGAUGGCAACUCUAUCCGAACUCAAAUCUGCCAGACCUAUACCAGUAGGUGCCUGUGUGCAGUUGGGGACUCACCUCUGCCAGUGCUGGCAUGAGCUAGCUGUCUUGAACUGAAAACAGACACUCAAAGAUGGGCUGUGGGAUCCCAGAGAGGUGGCAGAAUGGUCAAAGCUAUGAAGCCAACAGCUGCUGCCAACAAGAAAGUCCUGAGCCCUGAGUGAUUGUAAUUUAAACUUAAUGCUGGGAGUGGGUGUUUAUUUUGGAGGAGUGGGCUGCUUAUUUUUGGUUUGGGGACUUGUUCAUUCAUCUUUUCUCAGCGGCGCCUACUGCUGCCCUGGCCCGAAGUUAAAGCUCAAUAAAUCACUGUUGCACAACUG
rnacentral:lncRNA from 1 species